rnacentral:rRNA from 1 species
GACGAACGCUGGCGGCGUGCUUAACACAUGCAGGUCGAACGGAAAGGCCCUGCUUUUGUGGGGUGCUCGAGUGGCGAACGGGUGAGUAACACGUGAGUAACCUGCCCUUGACUUUGGGAUAACUUCAGGAAACUGGGGCUAAUACCGGAUAGGAGCUCCUGCUGCAUGGUGGGGGCUGGAAAGUUUCGGCGGUUGGGGAUGGACUCGCGGCUUAUCAGCUUGUUGGUGGGGUAGUGGCUUACCAAGGCUUUGACGGGUAGCCGGCCUGAGAGGGUGACCGGCCACAUUGGGACUGAGAUACGGCCCAGACUCCUACGGGAGGCAGCAGUGGGGAAUAUUGCACAAUGGGCGGAAGCCUGAUGCAGCAACGCCGCGUGCGGGAUGACGGCCUUCGGGUUGUAAACCGCUUUCGCCUGUGACGAAGCGUGAGUGACGGUAAUGGGUAAAGAAGCACCGGCUAACUACGUG